ACAAAAUUAGCCAGGUGUGGUGGCGUGCGCUGUAAUCCCAACUACUUGGGAGGCUGAGGAAGGAGAAUCACUUGAACCCAGUAGGCAGAGGUUGCAGCGAGCUGAGAUCGUGCCACUGCACUCCGGCAUGGGUGACAGAGCGAGACUCCAUCUGAAAAAAAAAAAAAAAAGAGGAAAGGAGAGGGAAAAGAGGCUUGUAGUUCUGCAGGCUGUACGGGCACGGCAUCAGUAUCUGCUUGGCUUCUGGGGAGGCCUCGGGAGCUUCCCGUGGUGGCGGAAGGCCAAGGGGGAGCCAGGGUAUCCCACGGUGAAGGAGGAAGCAAGAGAGAAGGACCGAGAGGGACCAAGAGCCAGACCGAGCGGGCUGAGCGGCGCCCACACAGGUUUCCAGAGGAAGGAGAUUUCGGGUGGGAAACAAACUCACCGGGUGGGGCAGUUCGUCACAGGAGCAUGUCCUGCUUGUCACUUACGAUUGCUGGACCUGUGACAGCAGCAGCUGGUCAGGCAUGGGCAGGGCAGGGCAGGAGAGGGCUCCCCUCCCACACACCGGGAGCGUCAGGCGUCCUUCGGGCAAUGGUCAGGCGGUUGUUAACUGCCCGUCUAACCUAAUACUUGUUGCAGCUGGCACCAGGGAAAGGCAGGCUCCCAAUAGACAGCAAACACCUGAAACCGGUGAUCAGCAGCUUCCCGGUAAGAUCUCAGGAGCUGGGCGAGGGGGCUGGAGCAGGCACACUAAGAGGCAAAAUGGCAGAGUUUAACUGGUCUAUGGCCUUCAAGGGACCUGCGGCUGGUCAUGAAGAGCGCCUCGAGCACACGCACGACUGCGUCAAACGCACCACACACGCUCCCCUCCCGAGCGCCAGCAGGCCGUGGCACACGCAGACAGCCCACUCCCGGGAGGAAUCUCGGGAGAAGGGAUGCGAGUCCCCGGAAGCGUGCCAAUCUAUAAGAACCCAAGUCAGGCUGGGCGCGAGGGCUCACGCCUGGAAUCCCAGCACUUUGGGAGGUCGAGGUGGGCGGAUCACGAGGUCAGGAGUUUGACACCAGUCUGGCCAACAUGGUGAAACCCUGUCUCUACUAUAAAUACAAAAAAUAGCCGGGCGUGGUGGCGCAUGCCUGAAUCGUUUGAAUCCGGCAGGUGGAGGUUUCACUGAGCUGAGAUCCCGCCAUUGCACUCCAGCCUGGGUGACAGAGCAAGACUCCGUCUCAAAAAACAAACAGCCCCUAGUCAAAGGUCAAACUGCAGAUUUGUCUUUCGAGUUGCCUGCUUGGGCCUUUUCCAAGUGUACUUGCCUUCAUUUUGUUCCCGCUCUAAAGCUGCUUAUUUUUAUUUCUUUAUUAUUAUUAUUUUUAGAUAGGUUCUCACUCUGUUACACAGGCUGGAGUGCAGUGGCGCAAUCUCGGCUCACCGCAACCUCCGCCUCCCGGGUUCAAGCAAUUCUCCUGCCUCAGCCUCCCGAGUAGCUGGGAUUACAGGCAUGCGCCACCACGCCCGUCUAAUUUUUGUAUUUUUAGUAGAGACAGGAUUUUACCACAUUGGCCAGGCUGGUCUUGAACUCCUGGCCUCAAGUGGUCUUCCUGCCUUGGCCUCUCACAGUGCUGGGAUUACAGGCAUGAACCUCCACACCCGGCCUCUAAAGCUUUUUAAUAAUCGUUCACUCCUGCUCUAAAACUUGCCUCAGUCUCUCCUUCUGCCUUCUGCCCCUCAGCUGAAUUUUUCUUCUGAGGAGGCAAGAAUUGAGAUUGCUGCAGAUCCGCGUGCAUUUGCUGUCGCUCGCAGACCUGGAGGAUGCUACCCUGGCGAUGGGACGCAGAGAGCUGGACCAGGCUGCUGGCUGUGUGGGCAGGGGAGGAGAGAGAGUGGGGAGAGGGCUGUGGACGGCGCUGCACCCUGUCUCUGCGUUUCUGGGGCUGGUCUCUAACUGAGCUCAAACUCCCCAUCCUAAUGCAGCCCUGCAGGCCGGGGGGAGGGCGCCGGAGACCUGACCCAGAGGAGGGAGACCUGACCCAGAGGAGGGAGACCUGACCCAGACGGGGGGAGACCUGACCCAGAGUGGGGAGACCUGACCCAGGAGGGGAGACCUGACCCAGAGGAGGGAGACCAGGCUGUAUCUCCGGCUGCAUCUGCAUCGGCCCCACCGUGUCUUCCUCUGGGAGCUGCGGCUCCUCGGGUCGGCUGUGAUGCAACGUGGGCAGGGGCGGGGGCUGGGGGUUGCAUUGGGUAAUGCCUGCUGCUACCGCUGUCUCCUUCAUCUCUGUCUGCAGCUCUGUGUCCAGCAGGGCCAAGAAGGGCAUUGGGUAAAGCUGAGAGCAGCCAGGGGGGUCUCCACAGGGGAAACACCACCGGGACAGUCACCUCCAGCAGCAUCCUGAUGUUCUGGGGACACUGGUGCUGGGGGGUCGGUGGGGAAGGGCUCCUGGGUCCUCAUGACCCUCUACCAUGGGUGAGCACAAAACACCAUGGCACUUCAGGGUCUUGGAAACAGACUAAAGGGGAUGUCAAGUCCUCAUUCCUUGGAGCUGCUGACAAGUCCAGAAUGGGUCAUGUUUUCUUGCCCCCACCCCAGCACCUCCGGGCAGUGGAAGGUCCAGAGAGAGGUCGGGGACUGGGGCUGCUCCUUGCGUCCUGGGCUUGUCUCUGUUGCCCCCUGGCCGGUGACUUGCGCUCUCCUGGAGCUGGUUCUUGCAGCCGAGGCCGUCACGGGGAUGCUGUGGCUGCUGCUCCUGACCCUCCCCUGCCUGAUGGGCUCUGUGCCCAGGAACCCAGUGAGGAGUUGGAGGCCUGCGUGUUUAGAAUGCAGGUCGGGCAGCUGAGGCUCUAUGAGGACGACCAGCAGACGAAGGUGGUUGAGAUCGUCCGUCACCCCCAGUACAACGAAAGCCUGUCUGCCCAGGGUGGUGCGGACAUCGCCCUGCUGAAGCUGGAGGCCCCGGUGCCGCUGUCUGAGCUCACCCACCCGGUCUCGCUCCCGUCUGCCUCCCUGGACGUGCCCUCGGGGAAGACCUGCUGGGUGACCGGCUGGGGUGUCAUUGGACGUGGAGGAAAGAAACCGUGAGCUAAGGGAGGUCGGGAACUCCUGGGCCCCGCAGCGUCAGCCCCUGGAGCGGACCGUCUCAUUCCCACCACAACACAGUCCAGGGGGAGUCCUGGUCCCAUGCUUUUCCCAAAUAGUUUCUUUUUUAAAAAAUCUUUUAUUUAAAAACUUGUUUUUGAGGCAGGGUCUUGCUCUGUCACCCAGGCUGGAGUGCAGUGGUGCAAUCACAGCUCACUACAGCCUCAAACCCCCAGGAUCAAGUGAUCCUCCCACCUCAGCCUCCCGAGUGGCUGGAACCACAGGUGCGAGCCACCACACCGGGCUGAGUUUUUUUCUUUUUGUAGGGAUGGGGUUUCGCUGUGUUGCCCAGGCCGGUCUCAAACUCCUGGGCUCAAGCGAUCCUCCCCCCUCAGCCCUCCAAGCAUUUAAUAGCUGGGACUACCAGUGUGUGCCACCACGCCUGGCUAAUUUUAUUUUAUUUUUUUUGAGACAGAGUCUCUCUCUGUCAUCCAGGCUGGAGUGCAGUGGUGUGAUCUUGGCUCACUGCAACCUCCGCCUCCUGGGUUCAAGUGAUUCUCCUAACUCAGUCUCCUGAGUAGCUGGGAUUAUAGGCGUCAGCCACCAUGCUCGGCUAAUUUUUGUAUUUUUAGUAGAGAUGGGGUUUCACCAUGUUGGCCAGGCUGGUCUGGAACUCCUGGGCUCAAGUGAUCCACCCGCCUCGGCCUCCCAAAGUGCUGGGGUUACAGGUGUGCGCCACCGCGCCCGGCCCCUAGUCAUUUCUAAGAGUGAGUCCUGAGGUUCCAGGCUCCUGUGCCCAGGACUGCAGCCUUGGGGCUCACCCCCUGGCCAGGGAAGGCCCAGCUCUGAGCGAAUUGUAUGCCUCAGCUCUGGACAAAACGAGAAGCUGCAGCCUUGUCCCCGCCAGGCCCCUGUGCCUCACCUCGCAUCUCCUUGCAGAACCACUGCCCUGGCCCCUCAGCUUGCGGGAGGCCCCUCAGCUUGCGGGAGGUGAAGGUCAGGAGCAACGUCCUCUGUAACCAGAUCUGUUGCCGCCGCUUUCCUACCAACCACACUGAGCGGUUUGAGCGGCUCGUCAAGGACGACAUGCUGUGUGCCGGGGACGGGAACCACGGCUCCUGGCCAGGCGACAACGGGGGCCCCCUCCUGUGCAGGCGGAAUUGCACCUGGGUCCAGGUGGGGGUGGUGAGCUGGGGCAAACUCUGCGGCCUUCGCGGCUACCCCGGCAUGUGCACCCGCGUGACGAGCUACGUGUCCUGGAUCCGCCAGUACGUCCCGCCGUUCCCCAGACCCUAGCUGGGGUGCAGUGGGGUCUGCAUGAUCCAGGAGGGCCCGUCUUCCUUGUGGACACCCCUGCUGCUCCCCCGUCUCAGCCUCACCCUCCCGCAGGUCCCUGCCCCGAGACCCUUCUGCUCCUCUUGGUCUCUCAAGGCUCUGUGUUUUCCUGCCGGCAGGGGGCUCGGGGAGCCGGGUAGGGGCCCUCAAAGAUGAGUCGGGAGUGGAAACAGAAUCCCAGAAAUCCUAGACGGCUGCUUGUGACUUGACUCCAUUAAACAGUGUGGAAACCG